rnacentral:rRNA from 1 species
UACGUAGGGUGCGAGCGUUGUCCGGAAUUACUGGGCGUAAAGAGCUCGUAGGUGGUUUGUCGCGUUGUUCGUGAAAACCUGAGGCUUAACCUUGGGCGUGCGGGCGAUACGGGGCAGACUGGAGUACUGCAGGGGAGACUGGAAUUCCUGGUGUAGCGGUGGAAUGCGCAGAUAUCAGGAGGAACACCGGUGGCGAAGGCGGUUCUCUGGGCAUUACCUGACGCUGAGGAGCGAAAGUGUGGGGAGCGAACAGG